UCUAACAAAUGUUGUAACCGCUAUGUUACUUCUUAUGUACUACAAAAGGUUUUGCAGCACAUGAAAUCCAGCAAGUAGAGCCCUUAGUGCAAGUACGACAGCUGGCUCAAACUCCUCAGUCAGGCAAUCAUUAUGGUGAAACACAACAUAUGCCACAGCUGUCACCUGCAGAAAUAAGGCACCCACCUUCUAACGAUGAAUUACUACACCAGAGUUUUGCUAGCCGACAAGACGCUUCCAGUGCAGUCCAAGAGCAAACACCUGUCCGCAGAACUAGCCAUGGAAGUGAUGGAACUCAUUAUGGAUUCUAUCAAGAAAUAUUAAAGCUCCUACACACGAUGAGGCUUACGUUGCAGUCGCACACUGAGCACCUGCUGAUGGUCCUUGAGAAGCUUAGUAGCAGGACUGAUACCACUGAAAUGGUGCAACCUGACAUCAUUGACGAGCCUUUCAAAACAACGGAAGCGUUUGUGGCGGCCCGUGUGUGAUGACGAAGACGUGCCUCUGCUGCCACGCGCUACGGCUCUGGCACGACAGUUCUACCGGCACCGUCCUAGCGUGAGGCCACGACCAUCUGCCCGCUGGGACAUUCCAUCAUCGCCGGUCAGGACUCAU